GGGGAAUAUUGCACAAUGGGCGAAAGCCUGAUGCAGCAACGCCGCGUGAGUGAUGAAGGCCUUCGGGUUGUAAAGCUCUGUCUUCUGGGACGAUAAUGACGGUACCAGAGGAGGAAGCCACGGCUAACUACGUGCAGCAGCCGCGGUAAUACGUAGGUGGCAAGCGUUGUCCGGAUUUACUGGGCGUAAAGGAUGCGUAGGCGGAUACUUAAGUCAGAUGUGAAAAUCCCGGGCUUAACUUGGGAACUGCAUUUGAAACUGGGUAUCUAGAGUGCGGGAGAGGAAAGUGGAAUUCCUAGUGUAGCGGUGAAAUGCGUAGAGAUUAGGAAGAACACCAGUGGCGAAGGCGACUUUCUGGACCGUAACUGACGCUGAGGCAUGAAAGCGUGGGGAGCAAACA
rnacentral:rRNA from 1 species